ACGGGGGGUGCAAGCGUUGUUCGGAAUCAUUGGGCGUAAAGAGCGUGUAGGCGGCUAGGCAAGUCAGAUGUGAAAUCCCUGGGCUUAACCCAGGACGUGCAUUUGAAACUGCCCAGCUUGAGUAAGGAAGAGGUAAGUGGAGUUCCUGGUGUAGAGGUGAAAUUCUUAAAUAUCAGGAGGAACACCGGUGGCGAAGGCGCCUUCCUGGUCCUAUACUGACGCUGAGUAACGAAAGCGUGGGGAGCAAACAG
rnacentral:rRNA from 1 species